AUAACGGCGUCGAGCGGCGGACGGGUGAGUAAUGCCUAGGAAAUUGCCCUGAUGUGGGGGAUAACCAUUGGAAACGAUGGCUAAUACCGCAUGAUGCCUACGGGCCAAAGAGGGGGACCUUCGGGCCUCUCGCGUCAGGAUAUGCCUAGGUGGGAUUAGCUAGUUGGUGAGGUAAGGGCUCACCAAGGCGACGAUCCCUAGCUGGUCUGAGAGGAUGAUCAGCCACACUGGAACUGAGACACGGUCCAGACUCCUACGGGAGGCAGCAGUGGGGAAUAUUGCACAAUGGGCGCAAGCCUGAUGCAGCCAUGCCGCGUGUGUGAAGAAGGCCUUCGGGUUGUAAAGCACUUUCAGUCGUGAGGAAGGUAGUGUAGUUAAUAGCUGCAUUAUUUGACGUUAGCGACAGAAGAAGCACCGGCUAACUCCGUGCCAGCAGCCGCGGUAAUACGGAGGGUGCGAGCGUUAAUCGGAAUUACUGGGCGUAAAGCGCAUGCAGGUGGUUUGUUAAGUCAGAUGUGAAAGCCCGGGGCUCAACCUCGGAAUAGCAUUUGAAACUGGCAGACUAGAGUACUGUAGAGGGGGGUAGAAUUUCAGGUGUAGCGGUGAAAUGCGUAGAGAUCUGAAGGAAUACCGGUGGCGAAGGCGGCCCCCUGGACAGAUACUGACACUCAGAUGCGAAAGCGUGGGGAGCAAACAGGAUUAGAUACCCUGGUAGUCCACGCCGUAAACGAUGUCUACUUGGAGGUUGUGGCCUUGAGCCGUGGCUUUCGGAGCUAACGCGUUAAGUAGACCGCCUGGGGAGUACGGUCGCAAGAUUAAAACUCAAAUGAAUUGACGGGGGCCCGCACAAGCGGUGGAGCAUGUGGUUUAAUUCGAUGCAACGCGAAGAACCUUACCUACUCUUGACAUCCAGAGAACUUUCCAGAGAUGGAUUGGUGCCUUCGGGAACUCUGAGACAGGUGCUGCAUGGCUGUCGUCAGCUCGUGUUGUGAAAUGUUGGGUUAAGUCCCGCAACGAGCGCAACCCUUAUCCUUGUUUGCCAGCGAGUAAUGUCGGGAACUCCAGGGAGACUGCCGGUGAUAAACCGGAGGAAGGUGGGGACGACGUCAAGUCAUCAUGGCCCUUACGAGUAGGGCUACACACGUGCUACAAUGGCGCAUACAGAGGGCGGCCAACUUGCGAAAGUGAGCGAAUCCCAAAAAGUGCGUCGUAGUCCGGAUUGGAGUCUGCAACUCGACUCCAUGAAGUCGGAAUCGCUAGUAAUCGUGGAUCAGAAUGCCACGGUGAAUACGUUCCCGGGCCUUGUACACACCGCCCGUCACACCAUGGGAGUGGGCUGCAAAAGAAGUAGGUAGUUUAACCUUCGGGGGGACGCUUACCACUUUGUGGUUCAUGACUGGGGUGAAGUCGUAACAAGGUAGCGCUAGGGGAACCUGGCGCUG
rnacentral:rRNA from 1 species